rnacentral:sRNA from 1 species
GUCCACCAGUAACUGAAUACUGAAAGGGCGUAGCUGGAAAUGAGAAGACAACAAGCUGUUCUUCUGAAACAUCAGGAACGAGAGCGAAGGCGACAACACAUGAUGCUUAUGAAAGCUAUGGAAGCUCGUAAAAAAGCAGAAGAAAAAGAACGGUUGAAGCAAGAAAAACGUGAUGAGAAAAGAUUAAAUAAAGAGCGUAAACUAGAGCAGCGAAGAUUAGAAUUAGAAAUGGCAAAGGAACUAAAGAAGCCUAAUGAAGACAUGUGCUUAGCAGACCAAAAGCCUUUGCCAGAGUUGCCUCGUAUUCCAGGACUUGUUCUCUCUGGAAGUACAUUUUCAGACUGUCUCAUGGUGGUGCAGUUCUUACGAAACUUUGGUAAAGUUUUGGGCUUUGAUGUGAAUAUUGAUGUUCCAAACCUGAGUGUUCUUCAAGAGGGAUUGCUAAAUAUAGGGGACAGCAUGGGUGAAGUACAAGACUUGCUUGUGAGGCUCCUCUCAGCUGCUGUAUGUGAUCCAGGUCUAAUAACAGGAUACAAGGCUAAAACAGCUCUUGGAGAACAUUUGCUGAAUGUUGGUGUGAAUCGAGACAAUGUUUCCGAGAUUUUACAGAUAUUUAUGGAAGCCCACUGUGGACAAACUGAGCUUACUGAAAGUCUGAAGACCAAAGCUUUUCAGGCUCACACUCCAGCACAGAAAGCUUCAGUCCUGGCUUUCCUGAUCAAUGAACUGGCAUGCAGCAAGA